ACGGGAGGCAGCAGUGGGGAAUAUUGGGCAAUGGGCGCAAGCCUGACCCAGCAACGCCGCGUGAAGGAUGAAGGUCUUCGGAUUGUAAACCUCUUUCAGCAGGGAAGAAGAAAGUGACGGUACCUGCAGAAGAAGUCACGGCUAACUACGUGCCAGCAGCCGCGGUAAUACGUAGGUGGCGAGCGUUAUCCGGAAUUACUGGGUGUAAAGGGUGUGUAGGCGGGGAAGCAAGUCAGAUGUGAAAAUUAUGGGCUCAACUCAUAACCUGCAUUUGAAACUGUUUUUCUUGAGAGUGGGAGAGGUAAACGGAAUUCCUGGUGUAGUAGUGAAAUGCGUAGAUAUCAGGAGGAACACCGGUGGCGAAGGCGGUUUACUGGACCACAACUGACGCUGAGACACGAAAGCGUGGGGAGCAAACAGGAUUAGAUACCCUGGUA
rnacentral:rRNA from 1 species